rnacentral:rRNA from 1 species
UACGAAGGGGGCUAGCGUUGCUCGGAAUCACUGGGCGUAAAGGGUGCGUAGGCGGGUCUUUAAGUCAGGGGUGAAAUCCUGGAGCUCAACUCCAGAACUGCCUUUGAUACUGAAGAUCUUGAGUUCGGGAGAGGUGAGUGGAACUGCGAGUGUAGAGGUGGAAUUCGUAGAUAUUCGCAAGAACACCAGUGGCGAAGGCGACUUACUGGACACAUAUUGACGCUGAGGUGCGAAAGCGUGGGGAGCAAACAGG